GGAAAAGAUCAGAUUUUCAUCCUCGUCUAGUAUAGAGGGUAUGCGCAUGACAUCACAGUACGCGGAAGUCACUGCAGUACGCUCACUGAGUGGCGGAAAGACGGCGGCAGCUUUAAUCACCGAGAACACAAACAACACAUCUAAAAUGGGGAAGAGCUGUUGUGCAAUUGACUGUACAAAAAGUCAGAGCUAUCUUUUACACACUGCCAAAAGCAAAAGAAAAGAGAAUGGAUCGCUGCAAUUCACAGAAACAACCGGAAUCUAGGCACCAAAACGUGGAUAUGCAGUUCCCAUUUUGUGUCAGGGAAGGAUCUCCUUUGUGUCAAAGGCCUGGGGUGGACGUGUUACAGACAAACCGAGCACAGCGGGUUCCUUGACAAGCUCCUCCAAGGCGACUUGAUAGUGGCUGACCGGGGUUUCACGAUAGAGGAUAGUGUUGGUUUAUUUUGUGUAGAAUUAAUAACACCUCCAUUCACACCAGGGAAGAAACAGCUUAUCCGCAAAGAAACCGAAUCUGCUUAAAAAAUGUCUCGUGUGAGGAUCCAUGUCGAAAGAGUCAUUGGAACAUUGAGACAGAAAUACACAUUCUGGGCUCAACACUGCCUGUAAGCCUCAUUAGAGUGGAACAAAAUGGCAAAGUGGAGGACAACCUUAUAGACAAGAUUGUGUUAACAUGUUGUGCUCUGAGUUAUGUGUGUGAAACCAUUGUGUCUUCAGAUUGAAGUGGACAUCUUGUACAGGGCUGGAUGGUAUGGCAAAACAUGUUAUUAAAUGUAAAAUAGAAAUGUAAAAAGUACAAUAUAAAAGUUCAUAUGAAAGCUCAUGUAAAUUGUUAUUCAAAUAACCCAUGAGAUUUUCACUGUGAUACUGACUAUCUCUUAAAACUGAGCUACUUUAACCUUAGACAUGAUUUUUAUCAAAAAGACAAUGGGGAAAAGUGGUACAUUUUGUAAAUAUUUAUUCUGUAAUGUAUACAGUAUUUCCACAUUAAUGUUUGGUAUUUUCACAUUUUUUAGUGACUGCAUAUUUUUACAUUUUGACACAUACCUGUAAUGCUCUGAUGAAGAUUGUGUGACUGAAACGUUUGUAAAGUAAGCCUGACAAAUAAAAUUAUAUUUUGGUAUGCUGAAA